UACGGGGGGGCGAAGCGUUGUUCGGAAUUACUGGGCGUAAAGGGCUCGUAGGCGGCCAACUAAGUCAGACGUGAAAUCCCUCGGCUUAACCGGGGAACUGCAUCUGAUACUGGAUGGCUUGAGUUCGGGAGAGGGAUGUGGAAUUCCAGGUGUAGCGGUGAAAUGCGUAGAUAUCUGGAGGAACACCGGUGGCGAAGGCGGCAUCCUGGACCGACACUGACGCUGAUGAGCGAAAGCCAGGGGAGCAAACGGG
rnacentral:rRNA from 1 species